AAGACGAAUUAAAGAACAGUAUUUAACGUAAAUAACUGUCAGCUUUGUUCUGGUGAAUUCUCAGUAACUGCCUGAAUAACCAGUCUGUGAUCGUCUGUCUGUUAUAUAGAAUAAAUGAUGAUUUUUGACAUCCACGUAUAUUAGCUGAACACUAAGUGUUAAGAACUCUAACAUCAAGUGUUCAAAAAUGAAACACAAAGGCAUUAAAAAAUUAAAUGAACACCACACAAUCAAUUGAUGAACUCAAAGUGUUAAGAACACUUACAUCAAGCGUUCAAAAAUGUAACACAAAGGCAUUAAAAACUGAACACCAC
rnacentral:lncRNA from 1 species